AUCAGGAAGUGAGACUCACACACGGGAGCCAGACGCCACAAAAGCCGGAGAAUUAAGCAGUUCAAACUCCCCCAGACUCUUGACGGGCUUCAUGGUGACCUGAGAGGAAUACGGUGAAGCUGCAGGCAGCUACUGUUGCCCAGAAAUCACUUUAAGCUGUUCUCUGAAAAGAUGUACUACAGCACUGUUGACUUCUUCAGCUCUCUGAUGGGUGUCAUUGAACUGUUGUUGACAGGGGGAAAUGUGCAAACCCUUUAUCAUAGCACUCUGUGCACUCCUGCGCCCUUUGAGUCUUGUUCCCAGUUUACAGAAACAGUUUGUCCUGCAUGUACACAUUGUGUGUUGCUGUUGAUUGGUGCUUAAUUAAAUGUAUUUAAAUACGCA